UUAUCAACCAAAGCAUUGGAGCACAAUGUGCACAUUGACUGGGAGCGGGCGAAGCUGCUAGGAAUGCUGGAGAGGGAUAGACAUGUGCUCUUGGCCGAAGCCAUGGAGGUUUGCAUAACUAAUGAUAAAGAAGACCUAGUGAACAUUGGCCAGCCCGCCCAGAACUUGUCAGCAUCCUGGAAGUGCCUUUUAGCCGCCUGUGCAUGGCUUGUGCGUUUUUCAGGAGGGGCGAAGUGUAGAAAGAGGUUUAUAGACUUGGUCUGUCGCUUUAAGUGGAAUUUCUGGUGCUGAGUACACCGGAGUAAUUAUUUACUAACAAUUACUCGGGAU
rnacentral:lncRNA from 1 species